CAUUGACAACCAUCAAGUUUCCGCUCCUGAACUACUGGCCUGAAAGUUAUCAGAACUUUUCAAUAAGUGCUGCAUCUCCUGGAAUGUUUAACUAGGCCUGCUUAGAAUGGCUCGAUCAGUCCAGCCACAGCUUGCUUCGUAACGAUGACGAUCUAUUUUGCCACCAUCACGUACCCUGUACCAAGCCUAUAUGAAUGUUGCUUGAGGGGUAGGAUGCCAUGCCACUUCAUAGAAUCCCAAGGUACUGCUUGGAACCCUCGCAAGAAGCCUCGCAGCAUGUAUCACGCUCUCGAAACGGGUUUUGGCUAACGCACACAUACUCACAAAAAAUAUGCAACACAAAAAAUGCGUUUUUUAGAAACUCAAAAACUCGAAGAGGCUCCUCGUGAAUUUUAUCAGCAUGUUUUUGAUUCAUAGCAUCAUGAGUGCGAUACAGAAAGUCAGCGGAUAAAGUGUCACAUUGCGACAGACACUCUCGUGGAAGGAUUGUUGACUUUUGCCCGGCGAUAGGUUUGAUAUGAAGACCCAAGGACCCCCUAAUUUCAUUGCAUACCGUUUCAGUUUUAUCGAGAUAUGUAACACUUUGUAUAAACAUGUAUCUUGGUACAGUGUCACGAUCUAGACAACACGGGGUCCGACGAGUUUUUAAUUUCAUCAAGUUCAUGACAAGUGCAAUAGAUCAUAUCACACGAAUAAAAGGGAAACCAAGUGGUGGACUCGGCAGCUUUUCCAACGGUUAAGCUUUAGAUGAGGCGAAUACAUUCAAUUUUCGGAUAUCGCCAAUCGCGAGCUGGUGCGCAUAUCGCACGUGCGCGCGCAGCGUCUAGCGAGAAAGAACCAUGAAAACCAUUGAUAUCUAAUUGAAA